UUAUUUUUUAUAAUAUUUAUUUUUAAAGAAUGGCUAUAUUUUUUUCUUUUCCUUUUCCAUUUCCAUUGAAUAGACUUCUUAGGCAGAGAAAUAUCUCUGAUUCAAUGCUGUCUUUUAUUUUCUUUUAUUAUAAUUUUUUAAAAUAUUUUCUAAUCCAGUAUGGAACUAUAUACCAUCGGGUAAGAUGAUUACAGGGUCGAGAAAAAUCACUAGUUCAGAUUUUAGUUUUCAGAAAACUUAUAGGUAUCAAACACACCCCAUGAAAAGAUUCCAUAUAGGGCUCUACAAAUUAUGUUUACGACUCCAGAUGACGAAAUGGACAUGUAAAUGUGAUAAGGUAACUUUGUAAUCUGAUAUGUAAUGCAAAGCAAGUAGACCUGCAAUGAAUGUGGUUAAAAUAAGCCAACUAGUAUAUUUUCUUAGAAUUUCAUCUAUGGGUUAUUUCCGGAAGUCAUCCACAAGGAGAGAUUUGAGUCAAGAAACAGUACCAUUAGUGGGAAGCAUUGGCUGGUGAGUGCUUCCACUUGGUCAAUUUGUCCAAGUCUUAUCAAAAAAGAAGAAAAGAAAAUGUCAAGGUAUAUAUAGAACAAGCAACAAUUUGAUGUUCAUAGCAUAGUGUAUGAAUUUCGAGGAUGUCAUUUCCUUGACUAAAAAGAAAUGUGAAUUGCAAUCCUUUGUCACGUAAGGAAUUCAAUGUGCAAUAUCUAGCGGCGGGUCCCGAUACCUAAUGCCAAGGGCAUGGCUCAAGCAAUCAAAGUGAAAAUAAUAGCAAGUACUUCAAGGUUUAUCAUGGAUGCAAUGAUAACUAAGUAAUGAUAAAAGGGGAGAAGUCAACUCACAAUGAGGAGAAAGCCAGAUUCAUAAUCUUAUCAACUCAGCAAUAUAAUGGCAUAGGAUUCCCAAGCACCUUUAACAAACAAUUCUCAUAUUAUGUUCAAGUUGCGCUAUGAUUAUCAAAUAAGUAUCACAUAAAAAUGCUUCAAACUUGUGUAAGCCACCAUGAUAUAGAUUUUCCCUGUUCACUUAAUAUGAACCAUCUCAUGCCCAGAAUGAGUAGGCAGAUUCUCUUCCGUCUUCUCAUAGCAUGGGUGCUGCUUGUGGCUGCUCUACACCAUUUCCCCAACCAUAACAAGGUUCAAGCUAUUGAGUCAGGCAAGCCACAUCCCUUCUAUCUUUUCUAUUAUUGUUUUGCAAAUAUUCUGUAGGUAAAUAUGAUGCAACUCUCCUACUCAUAACCACAUAACUAAUCAACAGUGCAAUAAGCAAAGUUCUCGACUGUAUAAUAUGCCAUGCAAAAUAAUAAAAAGGGGAAAAAAAAAAAAAAUAACUGAUCAGAAUCUCCCUAGAAUCCUCACAAGUUCUGACGGUGAACCCUAUCUUUUGCUACUAUAGCUCAUUUCAAACUCAAGCCAGCAAAACCAAGCUCAAGAUCGCACAAGGCAAACAUUUGGCCAUCCUGGGUAAGGAAUUCUAUCUCUCAAAAUCCAAAUUACAAUUCUAAUCUCAUAAUACAGAUUAUUUAAUCGAUUACUACAUUUGCAUCUAUUCAAUGACAUAAACAAAGGUUGGGGAGAAGAAAGUUCACAAAACUCCAUCUGGGCCCAAUCCAGUAGGCAAUCAAAACCCACCAACUAAGCAAUGAAUCAAUGGAUGCAGUUCUUCAGCACUAGUAGACAGAGAUCCACAGUACUCCCUUAAAUUAGGUCACAUGUAUUAAUUUAGGUUGGAAAUUCCUGAAUUCCUGAUCCCUGAGGUUGUGUGCUUGUAAUAAAGUAAAACUUAUUUGAAGAUUCGCACAUCUUAGAUCAAUAUUUGUUUAGAAGAUGCAUGACUAUCCCUGGGAUUAAGCAUUUUUUCCGGCAAACCAAAAUCAUAUAUUUUUUUGAGAUUGCUAUGGGUUGAUUUCAUUCGCUAGAUCCUGUUAGCGGAAAUAGGCAUCUUUUACUCAUAUAACUAAUUUCAGCAGAAGAUGGUUCUCAUAAAAUGUCUGGAAAGGCAAAGUGAAACACUUAAGAAAUACCUUUCUCAAGCAGUUUCAGCAAAUGAUGCACUCUGCUCUUUGAAGUGAUUUCUGAGAACCAAAGCAAGCUAUAUUGGAAUUUUCAUAGGACAAAGCAUAAAAUAUAGAUACAUAACACGUCCAGGGGAAAAAUAAAAUUUAGGGGACAAGCAAAAAACUAGGUACCUGCUAAAUAAGAAUUACAGCUCUAGAAGAUAAGGUGAUUGCAAACAUUACUGGAAUGCCUAUACCACCUCUUUUAUCACUAUCGCACUAAUUAUGCAUUCAGGUUAAUGUUUCAAAAAAACCACUGCUGUCAUUAACUAUCAACAGUGACAUGACAGCAAAGCAAUGCUUCACAUACCAUGUGGAAUCGAAUUCGAGGGUUUAUAAUCAGGCAUGAUCUCCAUGAUUUGCAAUUCAUCUUUGAUUGAAUUAGCCAACAUAAAAAUGGCACUAUAUAUCAACAAAAAUACAUUUUCUU
rnacentral:misc_RNA from 1 species